rnacentral:lncRNA from 1 species
GCCCUGUUUAGCAUUAAACUAGUUUUUGCAAUGUCAUGUUGCAGUUGUUCUUUUUUUCCCCACGCUCUUUAAAGCAGGGAUUAUCCUUUUCAUACACUCAAUCUUUGCAGAAAUUAUGUUUUCUUAUUUAGUGAACAAAUACAAUUACAACAACAUGAAGAAUACAUGCUCAUUUUGAAUCCCUUUUCUGUACUGCAUAUAAUUCCUGAGUUACAUCUUCUCUCAACUGUUAGCACUUUCCCAAGUAAUACUGUUUUUUCUCUGUUUAUUCACAGCCAUUUCCAUUCUCAACUCAGCUCCUCAUGCAACUGUGUCACUCUGGUGGAGCAAAGGCUCUGUCUAAAGUGCAUGCAAUCAGAGCUUGUGAGGCCGCGGGAUGCAAGGCUACAGAAAGAGAUGGUGUGGCCAUUUCUCAGUGAUCUGCGCACACCUGCCCUACUGGAGACACAGGAACAAGUACAUCACCUGCUGAAUUUCCAGACCCUUAUCAAAACAGUAAACACAGGGAGUUUUGUUUCCCUGCACGCAGCUUCCCUUACUGACAGGUCAUACUGGAAGAGGAGCUGUCUAACAUAGCUGUGGUCCAGAAAAGACCCUCAUGGGUAUUACUGUCCAUGUGAGUAGUAACACGGGCAUGCUUUGUGGUAAUGCAUUAGGGACCAAGUGGACGGUGCUCGGCACUUCACUUCAGUGCAUGUGCAGAAUGCACAAAGCCAGAAGGCAAGUCUGCAGAUGCCGGACUCCCCUUCAAGGUCAUGCUGUUUCUCAUUUAUUUUUUUGGUAUUUCCAUCUGAUAAACAAACCGAGUUUAAAUGCUUCCAAAUGCAUUUGUUUCUAUUCUAUUGACACACUCAUGAAGUCCAACUGAAAAACACAUGCUGGGCUAAUUCUUAUAAUUAAUAAAUGACUAUGAUCAUAUAUUUACA